CCCUUGGAUGUCCUGGGCCGCACGCGCGUUACACUGAUGUAUUCAACGAGCUUAUAACCUUGGCCGAGAGGCCUGGGCAAUCUUGUUAACGUGCAUCGUGAUAGGGAUAGAUUAUUGAAAUUAUUAAUCUUGAACGAGGAAUUCCUAGUAAACGCAGAUCAUCAAUCUGCAUUGAUUACGUCCCUGCCCUUUGUACACACCGCCCGUCGCACCUACCGAUUGGAUGGUCCGGUGAAGCCUCGGGAUUGUGGUUCUUGCCGCUUUAUUGUGGCGUGACCGCGAGAACUUGUCUAAACCUUAUCAUCUAGAGGAAGGUGAAGUCGUAACA
rnacentral:rRNA from 1 species